rnacentral:sRNA from 1 species
UGACCGAUUUUGCUUUUAUCAGCAAAGAAAAAUAGGCCAGACGGACAGCCGGGUCAAAUGCCGA